UUCUUUUCAUUUCGCUCCUUCCGCUCCUUUUCUCUCGAUCUCAGUUUCUCGAAAAAGAGCUGAAACCCUGGUCUCCGCCCCUUUUCUCUCGAUCUCUCCUUUCAUUUUUCUGGCGAUUUCUGAUCUUUAAUCGAGAGAUUCAUACCCGGAAAGCUCGUAGAUGCGAAAAUACGUGUCUUCUGAACUCAUAAUCUUCAAUCGGCUGAAAUGGAAGCAGAUUCAGCUGCGGAAGCUCUUAGUUGUGAAGAUCUGUGAUUUCCGCAGCCUAGAUCUUCGAUCAAUGAUAUAUAUAGAAGCUGUGUUUACCUUAUUGGAAGGGAUAUCAAUCGAUCUGUGCUUCUUUUUUUGCCUGAUCGAGACAUUUCGAUUUUAGAAGAUCUACGAUUUCUGAGGUUCUGAUCGUCGAUAUUUUAAGUGGGAGAGAUCUCCUGCCUUUUGCUCUGUUCUUUCAGAUCUAGGGAUUUUACUCGAAAGAAAGCUUUUGCACACAUCAGCGGCUCAGAUAUCCUCUUUCGAGGUCUAGAUCUUUGAUCUGAUGCGAUUGGAGUGAUUGCAACUUCUGCCUUGAGCAAUUUACAUUCUCGUCCUUCAUUUGGAGGUAAUGUUGGAGGAGCCAAAGUUUUGGACUGGGGAAAAGGCUCAAGACGAGUUGAAGGUCAAGUCGUAUUUAUGUGUAUUUAUGUGUUUUACAUGCGAAAGAAUCCGAAGAGCUGUCUUGAAAUGAGGGUUGCAGAUUGGAAAAAGCACGUCAUCACCAAUUAGGAGAUACUGAGGAGCCAAACGAUGGCAAUGCCUCAGUGAAGAAGAGAACUAAUGUGUUACUUCUUGGUGAUCGCCUUGGAGAUCUAAGAAUGUCUGAUGGUUUGAACUAUGAGAACCAAAUUGCUGUCGGAUUCUUGUGAAUGUUAACUUGGCUGGACUGCUUGCACUGGUGCUGCCAUAUGGAUUGAUUGAAGGUGGACCUGCCGGCCUUCCUGUUGGACUUCAAAUGAUUGGUGCUGCCUUUGAUGAGCUUUUCAACAUAUUUCAGAUGAUUUCCGAAAAUAUUAGGCAGACAUUCAAGUUUCAGCGACAAAAAGAACCCUAGAAAUUCAAUGUUCAGGAACAUUUGAUGGCGUCUUGGAGCUUAUGGUUCAUGCUGGCAGAAGUCUGCCUAAAGCUAUCAUGAUGAUGAUACCUAAGGCGUGGCAAAAUGUUAAAAACAUGGAUCGUGAUAGAAAAGCCUUAUACGAAUAUUUUUCAGCUCUUAUGGAGCCAUGAGAUGGACCCGCACUUAUAUCAUUUACUGAUGGCCGCUAUCUCGAAGUGACAAUGGACCGGAAUGGAUUGCGCCCCAGUCACUUUUACAUCACACAGUGGACGCGUGAUCAUGGCCAGUGAUGUUGGUGUUGUAGACAUCUGCCAGGAGAUGUGGCUAGGAAAGGAAGACAUUUGAUCGAUCCAGAAGGGGACCUUACUGAAAUAGUUCAUGUGGAAGGGUAUGUGGCAGUUCAUGUGUCUUUGUAUUUUGUUUUGAAAAAAUUAAAUAGACCAUUAAUUGUUUUGUUGAUAUUGUGCAGAAUUGUUGUCUUGAUGAAUGUUAAAUGGAUGAAAUAUGCACAGGUUUAAUCAUUUGUUGAUUAUGAUAUUGUUAGCUUUGGAUGAUAGAGAAAUGAGGUCAAAAACCGAAUUUAGCCUUGG